rnacentral:sRNA from 1 species
AACCGCAUAUAUUAUGGGAGUAGGUAUGUUUCACAUAUCAUGAAGGGGUAUCGUUGUUACAAUCAUGAGGGUACAUCUUCAUGAUAUGUGAGCUUUAUUUGCUUCGGUAAAUAUGACUAGCAUAUUCAAAUUGACUUUUGGAGGUUUUCUUCAUGCAAACGAACGGAACAGUAAAAUGGUUUAACGCAGAAAAAGGUUUCGGUUUCAUUCAAGUAGAAGGCGGAGACGAUGUAUUCGUACACUUCAGCGCAAUCCAAGGCGAUGGUUUCAAAACCCUGGAUGAAGGUCAACGCGUACAAUUCAACAUCGUUCAAGGCAACCGUGGUCCACAAGCUGAGAACGUAGUAAAACUGUAAGAGUCUCCUAUGAAAAAACUGUCCGCUAGCGGGCAGUUUUUUUU